ACUCUAGUAUUAGCACCUAUCCAGAUGUGUUGAGGUGGAUUUGAGUGUAAAUUAGUUUAAGUUACACCCCAAUCCACCUCAAUACAUGUGGAUUAGGGUCAAUACUAGA
rnacentral:pre_miRNA from 1 species